UGAGUAAUGUCUGGGAAACUGCCUGAUGGAGGGGGAUAACUACUGGAAACGGUAGCUAAUACCGCAUAACGUCGCAAGACCAAAGAGGGGGACCUUCGGGCCUCUUGCCAUCAGAUGUGCCCAGAUGGGAUUAGCUAGUAGGUGGGGUAAUGGCUCACCUAGGCGACGAUCCCUAGCUGGUCUGAGAGGAUGACCGGCCACACUGGAACUGAGACACGGUCCAGACUCCUACGGGAGGCAGCAGUGGGGAAUAUUGCACAAUGGGCGCAAGCCUGAUGCAGCCAUGCCGCGUGUGUGAAGAAGGCCUUCGGGUUGUAAAGCACUUUCAGCGAGGAGGAAGGUGGUGAGCUUAAUACGCUCAUCAAUUGACGUUACUCGCAGAAGAAGCACCGGCUAGCUCCGUGCCAGCAGCCGCGGUAAUACGGAGGGUGCAAGCGUUAAUCGGAAUUACUGGGCGUAAAGCGCACGCAGGCGGUUUGUUAAGUCAGAUGUGAAAUCCCCGGG
rnacentral:rRNA from 1 species